GUAAAUAUAGCUUAAUCAUUAAAGCAUUAGAUUGUGAAUCUAAAGCUAGAGUUUUGAUACCUCUUAUUUACC
rnacentral:tRNA from 1 species